GCACAUGGUAACAUAUCAGGUCAGUGCACAUGGUAACAUAUCAGGUCAGUGCAGACGGUAACAUAUCAGGUCAGUGCACACGGUAACAUAUCAGAAGUUAGUGCACACGGUAACAUAUCAGGUCAGUGCACACGGUAACAUAUCAGGUCAGUGCACACGGUAACAUAUCAGAAGUUAGUGCACAUGGUAACAUAUCAGGUCAGUGCACACGGUAACAUAUCAGGUCAGUGCACACGGUAACAUAUCAGGUCAGUGCACAUGGUAACAUAUCAGGUCAGUGCACAUGGUAACAUAUCAGGUCAGUGCACAUGGUAACAUAUCAGGUCAGUGCACAUGGUAACAUAUCAGAAGUCAGUGCACACGGUAACAUAUCAGGUCAGUGCACACGGUAACAUAUCAGGUCAGUGCACACGGUAACAUAUCAGGUCAGUGCACACGGUAACAUAUCAGGUCAGUGCAGACGGUAACAUAUCAGGUCAGUGCACACGGUAACAUAUCAGGUCAGUGCAGACGGUAACAUAUCAGGUCAGUGCAGACGGUAACAUAUCAGGUCAGUGUAGACGGUAACAUAUCAGGUCAGUGCACAUGGUAACAUAUCAGGUCAGUGCAGACGGUAACAUAUCAGGUCAGUGCACACGGUAACAUAUCAGGUCAGUGCACACGGUAACAUAUCAGGUCAGUGCACACGGUAACAUAUCAGGUCAGUGCACACGGUAACAUAUCAGGUCAGUGCACACGGUAACAUAUCAGGUCAGUGCACACGGUAACAUAUUAGAAGUCAGCGCACACGGUGACAUAUCAGGUCAGUGCACAUGGUAACAUAUCAGAAGUCAGUGCACACGGUAACAUAUCCCAGGUCUGAUAUGUUUUUAUGUGUUGUAGGCACCACAUGGGAUCGCCCUGUGCAGACUGCGCUCUCUAUAUAAAGCACAAUUCUAGGAGUCAGAAUGUCGGCACUUUGGGGCACUUUUAGGCCACCUUCACACGUUGCGGAAUAUGUACAGUUUUUCCGUGUAGAGAAAACCCAGGAUAGUAUGGUACCAGUGAAGUGGCGAGAUUACACAAAUCUCACGUACACUUUGCAGAUCUUUUCCGUGCGGAAAUUGACCUGCAUUGUGGAUUUGAAAAUCUGCAGCAUAUCAAUUAUGUUUCCGGUUUUAGCGGUGAUUUCACCUUUUCAAUGGAAGAGUGAGAUCUGCGGCAAAACCGCAUAAUAU